UGAAGGACUCAUGUAUCUUCACUUAGAGACUGUCCCAAUGAGGAUCCAAUAAAGCAGUUAUCUCUAUGUUUACUAACAUGGAACAACGUCAAAACAUAUGGAGAACAUCGCUUCCUGAUGAAGACAAUCAGUGAUGGUGGAAAAUAUGACAGUUUAUAUGAGCUGAAAGGGCAUCCAGAAGAAUCCUUACUGCCCAACCUCAUGGACACCUCAGAGCCUAUGCCCCAUCUCCAGUCCUUGCCUGGAGAAGAAAAUCCUUCACAGCACGACCACCUAAAAGGAGCCUCUUCCCACGUUCCAUAUCACUGGGUCACAGUGAGAUGGAAUCUGCAUGGAGAUGAGAGGAGAUUGGGAGAAGGCCCUGGGUUUGAGUAAACAAUUUAGGCAGGAUACUACGGAGAGAGAGAAGAUAACAAGUCCAAAGUGUGACACUUUAGGAAAAAGAAUAAUCAAUGAAAAAUAUAAUUUUUACCUGGAAAAGAGCCAUUCCUCCUUUUCCCCCCUCUUCUUCUGGUCUUCUUUCUCAGGCAAGCUUAUACUGUGUGACAAACAGUAUGUUGUUUAAUGUUUAGAAUCAACAUAACCCCUUGCUCUACCACAAAAUACAUAUGGGGAGAACUUC